CAGAGCAGCCAAUCAGAUCUCAAGUUGCUCAAAUUUCAGAAGCUAAAUAUACUGAGUGAUCUUCUGAAAACCACCUGUUCAUCAAUUCCACUAAAGGAUAAAGGCUCUGUUUAAUACCAUAUUCAUGCAAAAGAAUUUAGAAGAAAAUCAGCAUGACUUUGAGGGGCUUUCACCCUUCUGCAACUGCUUUCUUCCUGUCAAUUUUCCAAUCUUCAUGGAGAUAACUAUGCUUGCUCAUAUACAGUUCACCAGAUGAGCCACAGGUUUUAUGACCAAGGAAUAUUUGUGUGGAUUAUGAGAUCAUUCACCUGGCAGCUGCAAACUAGAAGAAUUAUGACUUACUAUUCAUUAUGUGCUUUUUAAAAGAUGGUGUUAAAUUGAAAAAUAAAAAAAAUAUGUAGUAUAAAAAUAUAUAAAGUAAAAAAUAGGCAUAGAUUAAUGCUUAUCUGGAGUUAUGCCCUCGAGACGAAAGAGCACCUCUAUUUUUCUGGCCUAUCAACGGCCUCUUAUGUGGAAAAAGAAUCAAUUGACACCUUGAUCUAUUGGUAGCUUCUUAUCAUAUGCCUUACACAUAGUAAGUGCUCAAUAAAUGUUAGCUAUUAUUAUUUUUAUUAUUAUUAUUAUUAUUAUUAUUUUUUUUUUUUUUUUGGUGGUAUGCGGGCCUUCCUCUGUUGUGGCCUCUCCUGUUGCGGAGCACAGGCUCCGGACGCGCAGGCUCAGCGGCCAUGGCUCACGGGC